CACAAAGUAUCUGUGUGAGCACGCCAGUGGGGUUGUGUGCGUUUGCCACUUGUUAUGUUGUUGCUGCCUGCACCCCCCUCCCCACACACACACACACACACACACGGCUGUAACUGCUGUCUUGGCAAGUGGUGUAAAUGGCAAUUUGUCGGCGGACGACGGACGACCGCAUGGAAGUCGCCCCCGCACACGGUAGCCGUGUAGAUACCGCGUCGCGCUGACAGCCGCUCUUUCUCGCCGGCAUUGGCAUUCGGCACUCAACUCUUGGCCUGGCCCGCUCUUUUCUGCCAUAUCAUCGCCGUCAUCAUCGUCGCGAUCAUCAUGCCAGCACCACCCCCGCCCUCCGCACCUCUCCCCCCGCACCAAAGAGUAUCUUAUUAUCCCUUAGUGCGAGGAAACACACCACCUUCCCACUUACUCACCUGUGCUACCUGUGCUCUGUCAACCCAUUUGGACGACCCAUGAAAUACAUUUGAAUUCAUAAAAUGCAAAAUGUAACACCUCGCAGAGUAAAAAAUAGAUUCAAAUUUAGGCAGCCCUUUCCCCAAGUUUAGCGUCCACUUUUUGGGCAGACGAACUUACAAAAUAAUGUAGUGACGCUGACUGAAAUGAGUUUUUACAAUUUUGUACGCUAAAGUAAGACAUAAGUAUAAUUAUUGUGCUGUAAAUUUUUAAUAUGAAAACAAAUAAAACUUAAAUGGUGAACAAAAAUAUUAUUAUUGAAAAUAUUUAAAAAUAUCAGAAUAACCUAAACUCAUGAAUUUUCAUUUUUUUAAUGCUUAAAUAGUGUUAACACUUUGCACGUUGCGUAUGGCUGGCUGGUCACUAUUCUAAUGUUGUUUUUUCAUUUAAGUAACGAACUUUACUUUCACAUGUAAAAAUAUUUCACGUUUUAAAUAUGUAAACUGUUAGAAAAAUAGGAAUAAUAAAAGCACAUAAAACUCGGCUAUUGCUCCUUAUCAAGAAUAUAUAUACUUUAUAGAGUCGAAAACGCUCCUUCUGUCUGUUACAUACCUUUCAAGGAAUCUAGUAAACCCUACUCUACGAUUAACGAUUAUAUUUAUACUUCAAAAAGCAAAAGUAAAUUAUCCAUAAGUGUUUUUGAUAAGUAUUUAAAAUGCAUUCAAAAACUUAAUUUUAAUUUAAAAUUAUUAUAAUUGGAUAAAAACUUAGUUUUAUUAAUAAUAUAACCGUUCAAGCCUGACUUAUUUACUAUAUUCAUUCCUUUAAAAGGCUCCUGCCUUACAAAGCAAAUCUAUAGCAAAUUAUAGCAAAUCUAUUACACCAUGCCUAUAAUAGUUUAUCCAAAAUAAGAGUCCUUAAAAGCCUUUGAAGCCCUAAACGGAACUAUCCGAGCGUGUUUAAAGUCCUUUUCAUAUGACAUCCUUCCGAUACGAUUUGCCCGGCGCGAAGGACAUUGCCGGUGACACGACCAACAAUGGCGAGUCCAGCCCUCUCUUUGACAUUGAUGGGCAUUGACGACGCUGCUGAUGGGAUGGUGAUCAUCAGCGAGAGCGUCAUCAUCAGAGCCGGGAAUGUGGCAGGGAAUGACGAUGAACCAGCGAGCAGGAAGAGCCGGCCGCAGGGAUUCGCACACAGCGCUCGAGAUGAGAUGAGAUGAGAUGCGAUUCGAUGCCAUGGGAUGAUGUGCGAUGAGAUGAUGUGAUGUGAGAUGCGAUGGAAUGGGAUGGGAUGGGAUGAGGUGCGGUGCGGAAGCAUAUGAAUGCGGAGAGUGCCCAUGGAUAUGGAUGGAUGUGCGGUUGUGCCAAUGGCGGCAGCUGGGCCGAGCACUCGAAUCCAGUCGGAGUACAGACGCAGACAAACGCAAAUGAAUUUAUGCCUAAUGGCGGGAUUGUUGUACUACUUUUUGCCCCCGUCGCCGUUGCCACAUCGCAUUGUUGUGCUGUGUCGCUGUCAAUAUUGAGCUUGAUUAUUAAAUGACACAUUAUGUGAUUUCCAACAUGUUCACUGGCCACCGAGGACCGGGAGCUCGAGCUCGAGCUCGGCACGGAGGGCGAGAGUUGGACCCAGUUCCCACUUCAAGCCCAAUUCAAAGGAAGCCAGAAGGGGCGUCGUCCCGGUCCAUCUGUUCGACCCAUCCGCAGAGCAGCCAGUUACAUGGCAUGGAAGUCAUUUUGUAGCACAUCCAAAACUGCUUGACUCCUGAACAUGCCCCUUCGCAAAAGCCAACUACGUCCCUGGCCAGUGAAUUCGUAAUGUUUUCUUUUGGAAAUGGCGUCUCCGGGGUGUUAGAAACCACUCCCACUCCACGCCGCCGCCCACUUUGGGCAGCGAACCACCCCGAAUCGAGUGGCAACAGAAGCCGAAAUGCCACAAAAGCCGUGUUAGCGCAACACUCCGCAAAAGACCCUGCCCAGUUCAAACUUUGCCAUACAAUAAAUUGAAAUUGCGCACAUUAUAUACGAGUACAUGUGGAAUGGAAUGGCAUAUUCCGGGGGACAGGCUCACGCCCUUCGGAUGGCAAUGUAAUGGCAGCCUGGAUGGCCACAUUAAAUGGCAACAAUUGCCAUUCGCCUCCCUCCCAUCCAGAGCCCAGAUCCCUGCCUGCCUUCGGAUCCUGCCCAACGGGUCACAGGCGAAACGCCUAUUGUGCGCCAUAAUGAAAUUAAAAAAUCAGUUACUGUUGUGCCAUGGGAAGGGAAGGGAGGGGAAGGUACAUUAUGCCAUUAGCAGAGCCAUGCCUGACGUCCAAACACAAAGCACACGGCACAAUACCACGUAUUCCAUUCAAGGCGGACAAAUCUGGAAAAUAGAAAUAAGGUGGCGCAAGAAUUGCCCUAUGUGUGCCCCUGCCACGCCAAGGCAGUUGGUUGCCUUACGAGUUCGAAUUACAGCAUUUGGCAUAAUCUGAAACCAGUCGGAUCCCACCGACGACUGCAGCCGAUGAGUCAAUUUACAUAGUCCGACCUUUGGGGUGGCACACUAAUCACUUGUUAGGGGUUGGAUCCUCCGGAGGGAGGGAAUUAUGUUACCAUAUUUGUAUGAAUUAACAAAGCUUAUUAUGAUAAUCCUCGCGGUGAUAGGAAGUCUUCUAGUGAAACGUUUAAAACUAGCUUGAAUUCGAAAUAUCACGAAAUGGUGUACAGAUACUUUAAAUAAGAUAUAAUAUUUAAUCUGUAUAAUGUACUACGUACAUGUGAUCAAACUGGGAUAUCUUUUCACUAGUACGAUCUUUUUGAACCUCCGAAAUACAGUUCUAGUUAUAUUAAGUAUGUUCUGUUGAUGAUAAGGUUCUCAUUAUGAUCAAAUUAUACUAGUCAUCUGAUUUAUUCAUAGGCGAUAAGGGUAUGCAUAUACAGGUACACCUUAUCGAUGGACUUCUAAAUCCUAAGCAGCUGGUUAGAACGCCUUUUGCUGUUUCAUUUCCAUUUCUAAGCCGCCUGCAUCCACAAAUCUCCUUAUGGAAUACUUAGCCUCUUCUCAAAUGGCCAGAGAUUUUCUGACUUUGAUUGUGGACUCGGCUUGCUCUCAUUUUACUGCCUUUGCCCACAUCCUUCUUCGUGAUUAGUUUACGGCUUUGGAAUUUGAUUUGUUGUCCUUUUUUGUCCACGCUCUUCCAUUUCAGUUUUUUCCAUUUCUAGCAGGACGAUGUUAUCAAUCGAUUGACUUGGACUCCUCCGCAUCUGCGGCUUUGCCUCAUUUCCGUUUCGGAUUUGGAGUCAAUAAGGAAACCAUCCUGGUCUGGACCGGCCCGGAUCCAGUUGCCCUAAUCCCGGCCUGUCGGCGGAGAAAGUUGCUGUCCACGGCGGGGACUACGGCAAAUGCAAUCAAAUGCGUUUAAUUUCAUUGCUGGCCCAAUGUUAAUUACAAUAUUAUGACAGUUCUGCGGCUCGCGAUGAAUAAUUAUCACCUCAUAAAUUGCGACAAACCGCAAGGCGGCACUUACACAUGGUCAGUAGCCUCUGCCCGAACUCAAGACUGCGGACUGUGCGGAGUGGGGAGUCGGACCCGGGUCGGCGAUGAUUAAUCGCCCAAGUUAGUUGAGUCGCUGCCGCCAAAUGCAAUCAACGGGCCACAGACCCGUGGGCUCUAGAGGUGGCUGCGUGAUCGCUCGUGAGAUGCGUGCUAGUCGUGAGCCCCGUGAGACACGACAUAUCCUGUUACCCGUACGUUCUUAAGAAUUAUAAUUCUAUAAUUAUAAGCAAAUUUACUUCAAAUGGCUCAGCGUUAGGGUUUUAAUAAACAGUUUGUCAGCUAAAUCUCAAAAAAAAAAAAAAAAAAAGGAAAUGACUAAUCCCUUAAGUUAAAAUGGGCGUGAGU